AGCAUUAAGAAGGCUGCUUACUCUCUUUCAAGUAAGAAGGGUGGAAGAAUAUUCUUCUUACUUCUUAAAGAUAUACAAUGCCUCUAUUUUUCUAUCCCAAUCUUCCCCAAAGGCAAAAAAGGAAUUUCUUUGUACUUUGCUAAAGACAUAAUGCAGCAAAACUCCUUUUUAAUUCUCAGGUCAUCAAGAACGCAGUGGAUGUGGAUGUGUUCAGAUCACAUACACUUGUUAAUUUCAUUUCUAUGGAGUUCAGAGGACAGGCAAAUGGGCUGCCCCCGCAAAGGAUCAAGGGAACAAGAUCUUGCAGAGAAGCAGAAACUGAGUCUGACCCGAUGGUCUGAGGAGGAGCUUUCCCAGGGCAGAAGUGGAAGCAAAACAAGUAGUUUUAUUUGGUGAACAGGAAAGACCAAUGGAAGUUUCCCAGAAAUAAGGUACCGAAUUUUAUCAAAAACUUAAAAGAAUAGCAAUAUAAUAGAUGAAACCAAAAAUAGGAACUUGAAAAUAUAGAGUGCUUGGAAAUUAUUUUUGAAACCAUAUGUAUAAUUUCCAUUAUUAGGUUCGCCAUUGCUUAAUUUAAAGGAGAGAUUUCCCCAGCAAGUUCCCCAGGUCUGUUGCUGCUGGGGGUGGAGAUCUGUCUUCAGGCACCUGGACAUCUUCCACUCCCAGCAAGGUCAGGUGGUUCCACAGAUGAAACGGAUCUACACGAAGUGUUCUCUCUGCCGGAAAAGUCUACUGCCUGCCUAUGUUGACUUGACUUAUUUAUUCAUUUUGGUGUAAUACGGAAGCUCUCUCUCUAGUUUUCCAAGGUAGUGGCAAAAAUUGCAAAGAUAAUUUUAGUUUUCAUCUUGAUGAGUUAAGGGAAAACUAUGGCAAAACAAAUGUGCUUAAAAACCCAAACCUGAGUCAAAUAAAUAAAUAAAUAUGAUGACAAACUGAAAUUAUGAAUGGUCCCUUGUUGGCUUUCUUGUGAAAGUCUCUAGGUCUCAAACUUGUCAUUGCAAAGGAUAGAAGGCCACUUAUGUCCUCUUCUUUUAUUGUGAUACCUUUUUAUAUGUAUUUUCUCCAUUCCUAUUUUUCCCUUCUACUCUUUUUUUUGGCUUAUUAUAUAUAAUUACAAUAAAUGAGGAUAAAUAUUUUGGGAUCUGAAUUUCAAAGAACUAUGUUUUGUCUUCACAAUGAAACAAAGUAACACAAAACCAGAGCCGUCCAAAUUUCUUUAUAAAAUCAGACAAGAAGAAAAAUGAGGGAUUAAGAUAUAAACAUAGUCAAUGAAAUUUUGGUGUAGAGAGUCGUAAGUUAUUGAGUACAUUUUCUAGAAAUAAAAUGCAGAACUCUUAAAGUGGGUGUUGGAAUUAUUCAGGAUAAUUAUUAUCUUGAACUCAAAUUUAAUUUUUUUCUUUCCCCUUCUCUUUUUUGUACCCAAAUGUGAGAAUGAAAUUUUAGGCAAGGAACGGAAAGAGUAAACUACAUGAAAAAUUUGAAUAAUGAGUUAAGUAUAAAAUAAUAAAG
rnacentral:lncRNA from 1 species